GGAUGUACGCAUACUUCCCGGCUCUUGCUCCAGAGCCUAUAGAGGAGACUUCGGCGGUAGUCUCAUUUUCUCAAGUAUACCACGGCCAGCUCUGCCGUAAGACCCGGGAGAACUUCAUGUUUUUCCACGAGUACUUUGACGUGGUUAUGGCACACGAGAUCACAUGGCAGCCGUGGGACGCGAUACCAUUGGGGCUUCGAGCCCAGUAUGACACAGCUAUGGUCAUCACUCGCCACCAUGUCCUUCUCGAGGGCCCGAUCUACCGCGCCUAGUUCUUGGGCGAGUGUUUCACACAUCAGACUUUAGGACUGCCUGCCCCAUUCAUACCGAUGGCGCCUCCAGUAUCCAUGAGAGAGACACAUAGACUUUCUGUUGAGGAGGUGAUCCAGUUUAUGGUAGGGCUGGAGGCGAAUUACUUCUGUGUAGAGGGCUACUAUGCGACUUUCAUCCAAACAUAUCUGAUGCCGCCACUGACCGGCGUUCGCGGUGGUGAGGGAGUGAGAGCUCCAGCUGCGAGAGAGAGAGGCAGAGGGGCCAGAGCCACCAGGUCCCGUGGCAGAAGAGAUUCCGGGGAGAGACAGAGAGUGAGAUGGCCAGAGCUGCCUACUACAUUGACUUGCUGGGGACGUUCUGGAGAGACCUAUCAGAUUCCCAUUGAGCCCGCACUAACCGGUCACGAGCUUGUCGGAGUUCGAGGCCUGACCCCGGCAUCCAUAGUGUACACCGGGUAGGCUCUCGAGCUAGCAGCUUCUCUGAUGGGGAUGGUUCAGACAUUCAGCCUCUACAAGAUUCCGAUCCCUUUUCAGACCCCAGCUUCGCCAGAUGCCCCAACAGGAGCCGCAGCAGGACCUUCAGUGCCUCCUCCAGCAGUAGAGAGGAGAGGGAGAUAGGCUCUAACACGCAGCCGAGGUAGAGCUAGGGGCACCCGCAGCGAGAGUGGCCCUUCAGAGCCCAUUCUGGGCGAUGAUGAUGAUAAGAUGAGCAAGGGUGAGGAGGUUGCGAGCCCACAGUCAGAGUCAUCUGAGGAUAUGGAUGGCGACGCCAGCUUAGAUUCUGCCAAUAGUGCGGCUAGAGAGGCUGAGGAGGACUUCGGUUCAGACUUUGAUCCAGAUUCAGAUAGCGGUGCCGAUGGUGAUAGUGCUCCAGAGUUUGCUCCGCCGAGGAAGAGGAUGAAGAGGGCCUCUCGAGCUUGAGAUA